AGGACGAACGCUGGCGGCGUGCUUAACACAUGCAAGUCGAGCGGUGAUCCUCCUUCGGGAGGUGAGCAGCGGCGAACGGGUGAGUAACACGUGGGCAACCUGCCCCUCACACUGGGAUAACCUCGGGAAACCGGGGCUAAUACCGGAUAUGACCUCGAGCGGCAUCUCUUGAGGUGGAAAGCUCCGACGGUGAGGGAUGGGCCCGCGGCCUAUCAGCUUGUUGGUGGGGUAAUGGCCUACCAAGGCGACGACGGGUAGCCGGCCUGAGAGGGCGACCGGCCACACUGGGACUGAGACACGGCCCAGACUCCUACGGGAGGCAGCAGUGGGGAAUAUUGCGCAAUGGGCGAAAGCCUGACGCAGCGACGCCGCGUGAGGGAUGAAGGCCUUCGGGUUGUAAACCUCUUUCAGCAGGGACGAAGCGAAAGGUGACGGUACCUGCAGAAGAAGCACCGGCUAACUACGUGCCAGCAGCCGCGUAA
rnacentral:rRNA from 1 species